CGCGUAGGCGGUUUGGUAAGCGGAGGGUGAAAUCCCGGGGCUCAACUCCGGGGCUGCUCUCCGAACUGCCAGACUAGAGUACGGGAGAGGAUAGUGGAAUUCCUGGUGUAGCGGUGGAAUGCGUAAAUAUCAGGAGGAACACCCGUGGCGAAGGCUGCUAUCUGGAACGUUACUGACGCUGAGGCGCGAAAGCUAGGGGAGCGAACGGGAUUAGAUACCCCGGUAGUCCUAGCUGUAAACGAUGGACACUAGGUGUUGGAGGCAUCGACCCCUUCAGUGCUGUUCUGCUAACGCGUUAAGUGUCCCGCCUGGGGAGUACGGCCGCAAGGUUGAA
rnacentral:rRNA from 1 species